UACAGAGACUGCAAGCGUUGUUCGGAUUCAUUGGGCGUAAAGGGUCCGUAGGCGGUCGGUUAAGUCGGAUGUGAAAUCUCGUGGCCUAACCACGAGCGGUCAUUCGAAACUAAUCGGCUAGAGGGCUGGAGAGGAGACUGGAAUUGUCGGUGUAGCGGUGAAAUGCGUAGAGAUCGACAAGAACACCGGUGGCGAAGGCAGGUCUCUGGGCAUUAACUGACGCUGAGGAGCGAAAGCAUGGGGAGCGAACAGG
rnacentral:rRNA from 1 species